rnacentral:rRNA from 1 species
AACGAACGCUGGCGGCAUGCCUAACACAUGCAAGUCGAACGAGACCUUCGGGUCUAGUUGCGCACGGGUGCGUAACGCGUGGGAACCUGCCCUUAGGCUCGGAAUACCUGCCCGAAAGGGGUGCUAAUACCGGAUAAUGUCCUCGGACCAAAGAUUUAUCGCCUUUGGAUGGGUCCGCGUUGGAUUAGCUAGUUGGUAUGGUAAAAGCCUACCAAGGCGACGAUCCAUAGCUGGUCUGAGAGGAUGAUCCGCCACACUGGGACUGAGACGCGGCCCAGACUCCUACGGGAGGCAGCAGUGGGGAAUAUUGGACAGUGGGCGGAAGCAUGAUCCAGCAAUGCCGCGUGAGCGAUGAAGGCCUUAGGGUUGUAAAGCUCUUUUACCCGGGAUGAUAAUGACAGUACCGGGAGAAUAAGCCCCGGCUAACCCCGUG